ACAGGCNCGNAUUCUUUUCCUUGCGGGCACCCGUAAUAAGGACCACCCGAGUGCCAGCAUAGGCGGGCUGUCCGMCAGYUUAAAAACCUGUUUAAGAAAGGGCCGGGCAAGACCGGUGCCAGCCGCCGCGGUAAUACCGGCGGCUCGAGUGGUGGCCRCUAUUACUGGGCUUAAAGGGUCCGUAGCUUGAUAANANAAGUCUCUUGAGAAAUCUGCAGGCUUAACUGGCAGGCGUUCAGGGGAWACUGCCUUUCUAGGGACCGGGAGAGGUGAGAGGUACUUCAGGGGUAGGAGUGAAAUCCUGUAAUCCCUGNGGGCCCACCUAURGCGAAGGCGUCUCACCAGAACGGGUCCGACAGUGAGGGACGAAAGCURGGGGMGCAAACCGGAUUAGAUACCCGGGUAGUCCCAGCUGUAAACGAUGCGCGUUAGGUGUUUCAGUGRCCACGWGUCACUUAGGUGCCGWAGGGAAWCCGUGAARCGMGCCGCC
rnacentral:rRNA from 1 species